CGAAAUCAGUAACGUCUGUGCGACCGGGAAUCAACAAGUAGAUGAUUGGCGCAGGCGCGCAUCGCCUUGGAGCGCGCAAGCAACGUUGGCCAGAUAAUCGCGGCGCUGGCCGGUCGUCGACGUCGUCUGCCGUCAGUGUCCGACGCCGAGCAAACGGAGGCACGUCGUCGAGAGCGCGCUACUCCAUCUUUCCCCCCUGGUCGCUUUGUCGCCAAAACACCGACGGAGACAAGGCAACUCGAGCCGAGAAUGUGGCCCUUCGCGAGCUGAAUCCCUGCCAGGCUCGCGGAACCCGUUCUCCACAUACCUCGCGAUAGUACCUGGGCACGGCAAGCAGCUACUGCUUCAAUACGGAGAGGUGCCGAAGUGCGCUCCCUUCUUUCGUAAUUAGGGACUCUGGAUUUAUUGGCCUUUCCCGUCACUUCCCUCUUCUUCGUCGAUUCUUCUUUCAAUUUCCAAGCCUUCACUCGGCUAACGUUUUUUCAAUACGCAUCAGUAAUCAAGGUCAACCUGGCGAACGAGCCGGAACGCAAUCUCUCGGAGACGAGAAUCGUUGUUCGUGGUUGCAGCAGUAGCGGUAGUACCAGUCGUCGGGCACUCGACUCCAUCAUUGACCACCUGCGAUCGGCCUUCAAGUGUAAGCUCCAGAACAAUGACGAAGUUGCGAAAGGCGCAUUCUCGCCUCUUUUCCAAUCCAUUGAUAAAUCUUCCAAGGUGCACACGGCUCGCAUUAUCCCACUUCCUCGCGCAUAAGUAGUCUCUCCCAUCCUCCUAGUUUUACGAGUCCCGACUUCCUCGGGCUCCUCUUCCCUCCACGGACGCACCUCAUCUUUACGAGUCGUAUCGGUUACGCGCUCGCGGCAUGCAAUC